rnacentral:tRNA from 1 species
GGACGAAUAGCUCCAAUGGCAGAGCAUCGGUUUGAAGAGCCGGCAGUGUUGGUUCGAAUCCAGCUUCGUCCA